UGGGCUACAAACGUGAUACAAUGGCUGUUACAAAGAGUAGCUGAAACGCGAGUUUUUAGCCAAUCUCAAAAAAGCAGUCUCAGUUCGGAUUGAAGUCUGUAACUCGACUUCAUGAAGUUGGAAUCGCUAGUAAUCGCGAAUCAGCAUGUCGCGGUGAAUACGUUCUCGGGGUUUGUACACACCGCCCGUCAAACCACGAAAGUUAGCAAUACCCGAAAACAGUAGCUUAACUUCGUAAGAAGAGGGAACUGUCUAAGGUAGGGUUGAUGAUUGGGGUUAAGUCCUAACAAGGUAUCCCUACCGGAAGGUGGGGAUGGAUCACCUCAUUUCUAAAGACUAUAUAUACUAAAAUCAUCAUCUUCACUUGUGAAAGACUUAAGUAGAAAAUAAGUUUUUCUUUUAAGCGCCAAAGGGCCUAUAGCUCAGUUGGUUAGAGCACACGCCUGAUAAGCGUGAGGUCGGUGGUUCAAGUCCAUUUAGGCCCA
rnacentral:misc_RNA from 1 species